AGGGGAGAAAUUAAUAAAUUUAUGAAAUAAUAAAAGAAUUUUUAAAUAAAUAAUAUUUUAAUGGGGGUUAAAGUAUUAUAUAAAGAAAAAAUUGAAAAUUUUAAAGUGAAUUAGUAUUGUGAAAGAAUUAUGAAAUAAUUGAAAAUUAAUUUUUAUGAAAGUAAAUUUAAUUUAUUGUAUCUUGUGUAUCAGAGUUUAUUAAAAAAAAUUUAUAUAAAUUAAAUUUCUCGAAUUUAAAAGAGUUAAUUAAUUAUAAAAGUUAUUGUAGCAAAAAUAUUUUUAAUAAUUAAUUUGAAAUGAAAUGUUAUUCGUUUUUAAAGAUAUCUAGUUUUUUUAGAAAAAAAUUUAAUUUUAUAUUUAAAAAAAAAAAUAAUAAAUUAAUUAAUUAAUUUAUUAUAGUUUAAAUAAAAUAUUUUAAGGGAUAAGCUUUAAUUUAAAAUUUUAUAAUAAAAUUAAUAUUUAUUUAAGAUUUUUAAAAUUUAUAUUGUUUAAAAAUUAUAUUUUUUUAUAAAUAAUCUUAUAUUAAAAUAAAAUUUAAUAUUAAAAUUUAAUUUUUUAUAAAAAUAAUUAUAAAAAUUAAAUAUAUAAUGAAAUAAUGAUAAAAUUAGUAUAUUAAAUUAAAUAAAAAUUAUAAAUUUUAAUAUAAAUAAAAGGAAUUCGGCAAAAAUAUAUGUCCACUUGUUUAACAAAAACAUGUCUUUUUGAUAAUAAUUUAAAGUCUAAUCUGCCCACUGAUUUUAAAAUUAAAGGGCUGCAGUAUAUUGACUGUACAAAGGUAGCAUAAUCAUUAGUCUCUUAAUUGGUGACUGGAAUGAAAGAUUGGAUGAGAUAUAAUCUGUCUCUUAUUUAAUAAGUAAAAUUUAAUUUUUUAGUGAAAAAGCUGAAAUAAUAUUAAAAGACGAGAAGACCCUAUAGAGUUUUAUAAAUUAAUAAUUUUAAAUUAUAUAUAAUUUUUUUUAAUGUUAAAUUUAAUUAAUUUAUUUUGUUGGGGUGAUAGAAAAAUAAAUAAAACUUUUUUUUUAUAAUAAACAUGAAUAAGUGAAUUUAUGAUCCUAAUUUUUAGAUUAUAAGAAAAAAUUACCUUAGGGAUAACAGCGUAAUUUUUUUUUUAAGUUCAAAUAAAAAAAAAGUUUGCGACCUCGAUGUUGGAUUAAGAUAAAAAUUAAAUGCAAAAGUUUAAAUUUUUUGAUCUGUUCGAUCAUUAAAAUCUUACGUGAUCUGAGUUCAGACCGGUGUAAGCCAGGUUGGUUUCUAUCUUUAGUAAAAUAAGAUAUUUUAGUACGAAAGGAAUAAAUAUUUAAAUUAAAUUUAUUAUUUAGAAUUUUAUUAAUUUUUAAAUUAAAUAUUUAAAUUAAAAAUUAUAUUUUA